UACGAAGGGGGCUGGCGUUGUUCGGAAUUACUGGGCGUAAAGCGCGCGCAGGCGGCUCUUCAAGUCAGGGGUGAAAGCCCAGAGCUCAACUCUGGAACUGCCUUUGAGACUGAAGAGCUUGAGUACGGGAGAGGUGAGUGGAAUUCCCAGUGUAGAGGUGAAAUUCGUAGAUAUUGGGAAGAACACCAGUGGCGAAGGCGGCUUUCUGGACUGUAACUGACGCUGAGGCAUGAAAGCGUGGGGAGCAAACAGG
rnacentral:rRNA from 1 species